GUCCACGCCGUAAACGAUGUCAACUAGCCGUUGGAAUCCUUGAGAUUUUAGUGGCGCAGCUAACGCAUUAAGUUGACCGCCUGGGGAGUACGGCCGCAAGGUUAAAACUCAAAUGGAAUUGACGGGGGCCCGCACAAGCGGUGGAGCAUGUGGUUUAAUUCGAAGCAACGCGAAGAACCUUACCAGGCCUUGACAUCCAAUGAACUUUUCAGAGAUGGAUUGGUGCCUUCGGGAGCAUUGAGACAGGUGCUGCAUGGCUGUCGU
rnacentral:rRNA from 1 species